rnacentral:rRNA from 1 species
UGUUGAGUUUGAUCGUGGCUCAGGAUGAACGCACGCGGCGUGCCUAAUACAUGCAAGUCGAGCGAACAGAUAAGGAGCUUGCUCCUUUGACGUUAGCGGCGGACGGGUGAGUAACACGUGGAUAACCUACCUAUAAGACUGGGAUAACUUCGGGAAACCGGAGCUAAUACCGGAUAACAUAUUGAACCGCAUGGUUCAAUAGUGAAAGGCGGCUUUGCUGUCACUUAUAGAUGGAUCCGCGCCGUAUUAGCUAGUUGGUAAGGUAACGGCUUACCAAGGCAACGAUACGUAGCCGACCUGAGAGGGUGAUCGGCCACACUGGAACUGAGACACGGUCCAGACUCCUACGGGAGGCAGCAGUAGGGAAUCUUCCGCAAUGGGCGAAAGCCUGACGGAGCAACGCCGCGUGAGUGAUGAAGGUCUUCGGAUCGUAAAACUCUGUUAUCAGGGAAGAACAAAUGUGUAAGUAACCUGUGCACAUCUUGACGGUACCUGAUCAGAAAGCCACGGCUAACUACGUGCCAGCCGCCGCCGUAACACAA